rnacentral:rRNA from 1 species
CAAUAGCGUAUACUAAUGUUGUUGCAGUUAAAAAGCUCGUAGUUGAACUUCUGGUAGGAGUGUCCCGGCCUUUUUGUUUUUACAAAUUGUAUGCUGUGUGACAUCUCUGGCCAUCCUUCUUCUUUGUUUAAAGAAGAUCUUUCACUGUAAAAAAAUUAGGGUGUUCAAAGCAAAAGUUUCUUUGGAAUAUAUUAGUAUGGGAUGAUAAGAUAGGCUCUAGAUGCUAUUUUGUUGGUUUGCACAUUUAGAGAAUGGUUAACAGGGACAGUUGGGGGUAUUCGUAUUUACAUGUCAGAGGUGAAAUUCUUGGAUUUUGGAAAGACGAACUACUGCGAAAGCAUUUACCAAGGAUGUUUUCAUUAA